UACGGAGGAUCCAAGCGUUAUCCGGAUUUAUUGGGUUUAAAGGGUCCGUAGGCGGAUUUUUAAGUCAGUGGUGAAAGCCCGCAGCUCAACUGUGGAAUUGCCUUUGAUACUGGGAAUCUUGAGUGUGCGUGAAGUAGGCGGAAUGUGUCAUGUAGCGGUGAAAUGCAUAGAUAUGACACAGAACACCGAUUGCGAAGGCAGCUUACUAAAGCACUACUGACGCUGAGGGACGAAAGCGUGGGGAGCGAACAGG
rnacentral:misc_RNA from 1 species